rnacentral:rRNA from 1 species
UACGUAGGAUGCAAGCGUUGUCCGGAAUUAUUGGGCGUAAAGAGCGAGCAGGCGGUUGGAAAGUUGGACGUGAAAUUUUAGGGCUUAACCCUAAAAGGGUCGUCCAAAACUCCCAGACUAGAGUGCAGGAGAGGAAAGCGGAAUUCCCGGUGUAGUGGUGAAAUGCGUAGAUAGCGGGAGGAACACCAGAGGCGAAGGCGGCUUUCUGGCCUGUAACUGACGCUGAGGCGCGAAGGCUGGGGUAGCGAACAGG